rnacentral:snRNA from 1 species
GGAUGUGAGGGUGAUCUGGCUGUGACAUCUGUCACCCCACCGAUCACCAGGGUUGAUUUGGCUUUUCUGGCUGGCUAGGCGGGUGUCCCCUUUCUCCCUCACCGCUCCAUGUGCAUCCCUCCAGGUUGAAGAGGAAGACCUUCCCCAUAGAAGGAAGACCGUCCUUCGGUCAAGGGUAUACAAGUAGCUGCGCUCCCCUGCUAGAACCUCCAAACAAGAAAGGGGAGCCUGUGAAGAAAUAGGAACACCAUGCACUGCUGAUAG